UGACCUUCCCAACCCUGCUCAGUGUUGGGGUACUUCAGGUCACUCCCUCACAGAAUAGGCCAAAGAAUGGCCAGUUUCAGCUGUCCAAAUGCAACUUACCCCUCUGUGUUGGUGGUGAACUUGACAAGCAGUCGACUGAGGUGGAUGGUACCGCUGUGCCCGGGAAGGUGGAUUUUCCCUCUGGUUCCUCUGCCCAGCUUUGAGGAUGCUGGGGGUGGGGCUGGGGGCAAUGACCUCCACUUGUGAGGUCAUUGCAGCAUCAUCAAGGAGUGAUUGUUGUGUGACCCCAAUAGCUCCUGGCACAACUCAAACCCUGGACACCAGAAUAGAGACAUGAUGACUCACCCCCCUUGGCUGUCCCACCCCUCCCUAGACCCCUCAACAUUCAGGCUCGUAAAAUGAGGCUGCAGUCAAGAGUCCUGGGGUCUGAGGGUGGGAGGCUCAUUGUUGCUAGGAGCAAAAAAACUGGCCCACUGUUGACACGUGGUCUCUAGCUCUUCUGUCACUUCCAACGUUGAACUCCUCUGAACCUGUCCCUUCCCCACCUUUCUAGGAAAGCAACCCUGAACUGAUCACAACCAUUUUGACAUUCUUCUUUUCUUCAUUUUUCUAAUCUCUGUGUCCUCAAAGCUGUUGAGAAGCCGCUGUCACACCCAUCUCAGGAGACUCAGCCUCACCUGACAUUCAGCUCUGGACCAAAGGUACCAAUCUGGAUAUGGACAAGAUACAACUUGAAAAUUCCACCUUCCAUGUGAACUGCCCUGGCCUCCCACCCUGCUGUAUUUAAGAGAUACCAUCCUGAACAUGCCUGGGAUGCUCCCCACAGAUUGACUCCCCACCUGUUCUGCGGGGGGGCUGUUGCUGUGUCUCCUGUCUCACACUGUGCCCUAAUCCAGGAAAGAGCCUUCUUAUUCUUUGCAUCUUUAGUGAUGGGCCAGGGCCUGAUAUAUAAUAUAUGCUCAGUGAAUGUGUGGGGAAUAAAUGAAUGGAUAUACAAGACAAAGUUCAGCAGGAGAGGUAAAUGAAUAUCUGUCAGAGGAGGAAGAUCCAACUCUAUGGAGAUGGUGAUCUGUUUCUCACGGUCAACUUCCAACAUGAAUAUAUCUUUCCAAGGCCCAGAGAUUCCAGGAGGCAGGCACCACUGUGCUGUGUAGGCUGGAAAUCCCAGAUCAUGUUGGAUUUGUCCAGGAUACGGCUGCCAUCUGAUCCAGGCUCCCAAGCAGUGAUGGACUCAAGUGCCAGGCCUCAGACCUGAGUCUCCAUAUCCCCUUCCCUGCAGCUGGGGUUUCUCUUGCCCUGUACCUCCUCUCGACCCCUGCCUCCCACACAUGCACCCCCACAUACAUUAUCUGCCUGAGACCCUCUUCAGGAGCACUGGGGAGGAUACGGGAUGGGGUGGACUUGGCAGGGAGGUAGCUGGGCAAGGCACAGUAGGGGAGGAUCCUGUGGGUAGAUGGGAGUCACUCUCUUGAGUGAAGCUCUACCCCACUCUGCUGUGGAGCCCACGUUCUACCUGAGGGCUCUUCCUAAGGCACCCACCAGGCUUCGACUUCCUUUUUCCUCUUGUGACUCCACCACCUUCCCAGCUACCAGCAAGAGCAGUAAACUAGGGGCUCACUGGGGCAGAUGCCUUAAUGGAGAUAGCAGAGAUGAAGAGAAAAAUCCCUCAGCAGGUUGAGAGCGCCUUCUGCAGGCUCAGGGCACAAAGCGAGAACUCAUUGCACGGGUAAGGUAGGCAGUGAAAAGCAGAGACCCAUUUCUUUUACUGAGUGUGGGAUUACAAAGUCAGGAAUUUGGGGGAAAUUUUCAGAUGAUUUAAAAUCCUUCUUGUCAAUUCCUUAACCAGCUUUUCAAGGUCUUUAUAUUUUUUAAUAAAAUGUGAGGCGGAGCUGUGUUUCCCGAAUGAUCUUUUGCCAGCAGGAGGCAGCACGGGUUGGAAUAGUAGCAGCUGGAAUAACCCACCCUACCUUAUCUGACUUCAGAUAAGAUGUGGAAAUAACCUAAAUGUCCAUCAACAGACGAAUGAAGAAAAUGUGGUAUAUACACAUGAUGAAAUACUAACCAGCCUUAAAAUGGAAGGGAAUUUUGCCUUAUUCAACAACAUAAUGGCCCUCGAGGACAUUAUGCAGUGAAAUAAGUCCAAUACAGGAAGACCAAUACUGCACGAUUCCACUUAUAUGAAAUAUCUAAAAAUAGUCAGGUUCAUUAAAUGGAAGACUGUAACAGUGGUUAGCAGGGACAGGGGAGGAUUAAAUGAGUUAUUAACGUGGCUGAGCAACGUCGUACCCGUAGUCAACAACACUGCAUUGGAUUGACACACUUAUAAUUGGUUAAGGGGAUGGAGUUCAUGUUAAGAGUUCUUACCACAAAAAUAUAAACAAAUUAAAAAGGGGGAUAAGGAACGGGAAGGAUGGCACACCCGGCCCCCAGGAAGGCCCUGGGUACUUUUGUGUAAUUCCUGCUGUUUUCUGGAAAGGAUCUGUUAGAGCCAUUCACCACCUUGGAGACCCAGGGGCCUGGGAAGGUCUUCUCCUUGGUGCUCAUGAGACUUGGAGUCUUGUGGGCUGUGGGGUGCUCAGGGUUGUAGCAUGGAGGAAGGAGGUGUGUGUGGUGAGUGAGAGGGAGUCCCCGUGCCUCUAGAGGAAAGGAAAGAUCAUCUCAGCAUGUUCAAAACAGGCUUGGGAGCAGAGUGAGGAGGGGCCAGGAGAGGAGGUGAUAAAUGUAAUUGUCUUGAUUCUGAAGACUUUACCAUUGUCUAAAGCAGUUUUUAUUUCUUAGAAUUUCAAUCAUCCUCGCUACUCAAGACCCCCCAAAUGGUGGAACCCACGGGUAGAGAGAGCUAAGGAAGGUUAACUCCAUAUUGGAGAUGCCUUCUUGAGCCAGCAGGGGGCAGCAGUGGUAGUGGAGGCCGCAUUUGGAUGAGCUGACUGGUCCUUACCACGCAGGGUCAAAACAGAGAAUGGAGAGCAAGUCGGCUGUUCAGAAAGAUACCUGAAACAUGACCCACGUGUCCAGUCUUUGCUGUUGCCUGGAGGAGGAGCUGGGAGGAGAGUGUUGAACUGCCCUUAUUUGGUGGUCUAUGAAGGUAUCCUUCUCUUUCAGUAGAUGAAAGAUAAUUUGUGGGCUUUGUGGUGUUUUUUGUGGUUCUGGAAGACAGAGAUUGGAGAGAGUGCAGGGAGCAAUGUACCGCCUGGAUCCUGAGGGGAGAGAGGCUUCAGAAGAGCCUCUUUGGCUUUGGUGGUAUUCUUGCUGGCCUGGGGAGGAAGUGCAUUCUGCCAGCUGUGGGGUAAAAGCAGGGCCUGGGGACCCAGGAGGGGGCUGGCGGGCAUUUGGCACUGCUCCAGCUGCUGCUAGGUCAUCUUUCCUGGAUUGAUGAUACACUGCAAGAACUUUUCAACUUUAGCGACAGCUGUGGAGGAGCCUUCUCCUGAAUAUUCACAUGUGAGACAUUCCCUCUCCUCCCCUACUUCUCUAUCCUCAGGUACUAAGACCUUCACUCCCACUCACUUACUGCCACAGUUGCCCCCGUGGAACACAGGACUCAGCCAAGGGGAGUGUCUCUGGGGCUGCAUCAAGGUGCCAAUGCCUGCCCAUGUCUACGCCAACCUCAGAGGACUGAGGACAAUUCUGGAUUCUACUGUCUAUGACAAUCAUGCUCACAUUGCGAUGAUUCAGAAAAAACCAGAGUUAGAGAAGCAGCGAGAUAGAGUGCCUGUUAAAAAAUGGAAAAGGAAGUGGAGGAGUUUUAGCCCAAGGGAACAAAAGUUUGGAGGGGGGAGCACAAGCCGGCACAUAAUUCAAGGCUGUGCCUCAUGAAGACAUGCACCCAAAUGUUCUAGAGAGCAGGGGCAGAAUGCAUGGGUACAAGUGGCAGGAGGUAAGGAAGAAGUCGCCAACCCCCUCUUCUCAGGCCAGUAGCAGCCCUUCCUAAGUUUAUGAACUGUCUGGACCACCAAAUGUUUAAUUAAAUGCC